GUGAGUAACACGUGAGAAUCACCUUUAGGCGGGGAAUAACUAUCAGAAACGAUAGCUAAUGCCCCAUAUGCUUGUAAGAGUAAAAGGAGAAAUCCGCCUAAAGAGAAGCUCGCGGCUGAUUAGCUAGUUGGUAAGGUAAUGGCUUACCAAGGCGACGAUCAGUAGCUGGUUUGAGAGAAUGAUCAGCCACACUGGAACUGAGACACGGUCCAGACUCCUACGGGAGGCAGCAGUGAGGAAUUUUCCGCAAUGGGCUAAAGCCUGACGGAGCAAUACCGCGUGAGGGAUGACAGCCUUAGGGUUGUAAACCUCUUUUAUCAAGGAGGAAGUUCUGACGUGUACUUGAUGAAUAAGCAUCGGCUAACUCCGUGCCAGCAGCCGCGGUAAGACGGAGGAUGCAAGUGUUAUCCGGAAUCACUGGGCGUAAAGCGUCUGUAGGUGGUUUAAAAAGUCCACUGUUAAAAAUUGAAGCUUAACUUCAAAAAUGCCGUGGAAACUUUUAAACUUGAGUAUGAUAGGGGUAGAGGGAAUUCCAGUGGAGCGGUGAAAUGCGUAGAUA
rnacentral:rRNA from 1 species